rnacentral:misc_RNA from 1 species
UCCAAUAAAAUAAUUCUCGAAAGGCUCAGAAAGUCCUACAAUUUUAAAUCUACUUGGAAGCAAUAAUGCAAGUCGCUUGUCCACUCUGACUGGCUUUGUGAAGUAAUAAGGGUAACCAAUUGAACAUUUUCCCUAAAUCUUGUAUUCCCGAUAAUAUCGAAAUAUAAUGUUUCUGCCAAUGAGUCUCCAUUUCUGAUCCCAGCUAUUAAUAUACGCAAUGUUAGGCUUCAAAUGUCGGUAGAAAUACAGCCACCACAGAAGGA